UUAGAGAUGAUGGGCGAGGGGCAGCUGCUGUGGGACUGGUGAGGAAUGAUUCGGGUGAAUGGAGCUAACAUUGGGGUGGAGGAGGAGGAUCAUCUUGGAGGUGAAUAAUCUGAGUGUGGCAAGGAUGAUUUCUGGGUGAGAUUAAUGUGAGGAACAGUAGCUGGAAGAUGGCGGGGAAUAUUAAGAGGCCAUGCUAAGGGACUGGCAGGUGCAUGCAUGUUCGUCAUAUCUACAGAGAGAGUAACAGGUGUGCUGGAUAGUAUGGGAUGUCAGUAUGCGUUGGUGCUGCAUGUCUUGGAGCAAUCACCUGUCGACGUGAGGAAUAUCAUGAUAUGGAUGAAGAUACCAAAGGAGUGACUGAUAAAAUAUAUGGAAGAGAGAGAGAGAGAGAGAGAGAGAAGUAUGCCAUUAUGCAGUGUUGCAGAGCAGUCUCUUGUUUAAUUUGUGUAAGGUUCCUUGUCUGAUGGUCCAACGACUCUCCUAAACCUGAAGAUUGAUAAAUUUGACAUUUAAAUUUCUACCUGAGCUGCAUCAAUAUUUUUUAUCAUGAAACUGAAAUCACAAAUCAUUAUCAAAGAGCUAAACAAUUUCAGACGUUACUGCCAAUUUGCCUCCUUA
rnacentral:lncRNA from 1 species